UCUAGUCCGAUUUGUGAAAUAACUUGAGAGGCGUAGGAUAAGUGGGAAUCCUCACGGCACAAGUGAAAUAUCACUACUUUAACAUUAUUUUACUUAUUCUGUGGGUCGGAAGUGAGGCACCAUCCCUCCCGUCCUAAUUGUAGUAUUGUUGGGGGCAUGUAAUUGUGCUUUAAGGGUGUACUUGCAACUGGGACAAAAUGGGUCUGUCCCAAUUACGUGUCAGGGGUGGA
rnacentral:ncRNA from 3 species